rnacentral:misc_RNA from 1 species
GAUCUGGAAGGGGCUGAGGAGUGUUAUGGGAGGGCGAUACUGGCGAGCCCCGGUGACGGUGAGGUGCUGGCGAUGUAUGGGGGGCUUGUGUGGGAGGCUCACCGGGACAGCGAGAGAGCCGGCGGUUAUUUCCAGCGAGCGGUGGAGUCUUCGCCGGAUGACAGCUAUGUGCUAGGGUCGUAUGCGAAAUUUCUGUGGGAUGCUGAGGAGGACGAGGAGGUUGGGAGCUCAGUGUCAUCGUCGCCACCACUGGUGAAGGCCUUCUGAUGGACAUUCUGGUAACUGCUGAACUGACUGUGUAUAGAGGCCAUCUCUAAGUUCAAUCUAUAACAACUUGACGAGCACUGAGGGUGAUGUUGGAGGCUUUUGUGCCAACAACUUUGUAUAUGCUAUGGAUGGUCAGUUUUAGUUAUAACGAUGUAAUUGAGUUUGUUAACAUUUUGACAAUCA